rnacentral:rRNA from 1 species
GACAGAGGUGCCAAGCGUUAGGCGGAAUCACUGGGCUUAAAGCGUGUGUAGGCGGAUCGUUAAGUACCUUGUGAAAUCCCACGGCUCAACCGUGGAACUGCUCGGUAUACUGGCGGUCUUGAGCCAUCUAGGGGCUGUCGGAACAAAUGGUGGAGCGGUGAAAUGCGUAGAUAUCGUUUGGAACGCCAAAGGUGAAAACAGACAGCUGGGGAUGUGCUGACGCUGAGACACGAAAGCCAGGGGAGCGAACGGG